rnacentral:misc_RNA from 1 species
GUUCCAGGGCGUUGAUCAGAAAAAUGCAUGGAGAUAAAACCCUUGCCAAAUUUCUCAAAUGCUUUUUCCCCAAAAACCUGCUCAAGCACAGCCUCAGUGAGCAAAUCCCCAGCAACCUCCUUAGACUCUGAAAUAACUCCCAACUCCUCAGACACCCAUUUCCUCCCACUAGGUGGCUGCGCUACAAUCCCAGCAAAUCUUUGCAAAUCUCUCACCUCCUUCUGCAUCACUUUGGCUGCCUUCUUCUUUGCCAGCGCCAAAACCACAUGAUCCAUCGCAUCAUCAUUCAUAUACACUUCAAAAGUGAUCUCAUCCUUGCAAGGCACGAUCAUAUUAUAAAUCCUUGCAAUCAAAUCGUGCCUACUCUUCAAUUCCAUCGUAGCCAACAAACCUUGACAGUACCUACGACCACU